UGAGGACUAGUAUGAAUGGCCCCACGAGGGCUGCACUGUCUCCUUUUUCCAAUCAAUGAAACUAAUCUCCCCGUGAAGAAGCGGGGAUAACCCUAUAAGACGAGAAGACCCUAUGGAGCUUUAAACAACUGAAACAUUUGCUUCUCCCCUGACCUCUCCUGAGUUUUUUACUUUACUUAAGCAUUUUUAUUUCUAGUUUUAGGUUGGGGUGACCGCGGAGCAAAACUAAACCUCCAUGAAGAAUGAAUAUUUUUUAAGCCACAAACUACUUUUUUAAGCAUCAACAAAUUGACCUUCAUUGACCCAAUAUAUUGAUCAACGAACCAAGUUACCCUAGGGAUAACAGCGCAAUCUACUUCAAGAGCUCAUAUCGACAAGUAGGUUUACGACCUCGAUGUUGGAUCAGGGUAUCCUAGUGGUG
rnacentral:rRNA from 1 species